rnacentral:misc_RNA from 1 species
CCCUAGCCCCGAUAGUAACGGUUACCCCGCAACAGGGAGUUGGAGAGUUUGAGGGUUUGAGGGUUGGAGAGUACGGGCGUGAGGAGUAUGAGUGGAUAGCGGGAGAUAGC